GGGGAAUAUUGCGCAAUGGGCGCAAGCCUGAUGCAGCCAUGCCGCGUGUAUGAAGAAGGCCUUCGGGUUGUAAAGUACUUUCAGCGGGGAGGAAGGCGACGGGGUUAAUAACCCUGUCGAUUGACGUUACCCGCAGAAGAAGCACCGGCUAACUCCGUGCCAGCAGCCGCGGUAAUACGGAGGGUGCAAGCGUUAAUCGGAAUUACUGGGCGUAAAGCGCACGCAGGCGGUCUGUUAAGUCAGAUGUGAAAUCCCCGGGCUUAACCUGGGAACUGCAUUUGAAACUGGCAGGCUUGAGUCUUGUAGAGGGGGGUAGAAUUCCAGGUGUAGCGGUGAAAUGCGUAGAGAUCUGGAGGAAUACCGGUGGCGAAGGCGGCCCCCUGGACAAAGACUGACGCUCAGGGGCGAAAGCGUGGGGAGCAAAC
rnacentral:rRNA from 1 species